AGCUUUGCGCAGUGGCAGUAUCAUAGCCAAUGAGGUUUAUCUGAGGCACGAUUAUUGCUAAUUGAAAACUUUUCCCAAUACCCUGCUGUGACUACUUGCAAUACAGUCUGCACUGGCAGUUUUUGCCAGUCUCUAAGGAGA